AUGAACUCGUGUGUGGAUCUCAUCCAUAGUGAUGAUCUACUUGACGCAACACUUUCCUUAAGGCUAAUGAGAGAAGCUGGAUAUUCUAUUUCGGCAGACGAUGUUCUUCGGAAGUUCACAAACAAUAAUGGUGAUUUCAACCUUAGGCAUAGCAAAGACCUUAGAGGGUUGCUGAGCUUGCAAGACAUGUCACACCUCAACAUGAGAGAAGCUUCACUCUACAAGGCAAAGGAAUUCUCAAGAAAGCACCUUAAAUUUGCAAUUAAGUAUUUGGAGCCAAACCUUGCGAGAUAUGUCAUGAAGUCACUGGACCAUCCCUAUCAUGUGAGCUUGAUGCAAUACAAGGCUAGGCAUCAUCUGAGUUACCUCAAAAACUUGCCUACUAGGCACACUGCAAUUGAGACGCUAGCAGUUGCAGAAUUUCAGAUCAAGAAGUUGCAGCAUCAGAGGGAAAUGCAAGAGGUUAAGAGAUGGUGGAUGGAUCUGGGACUGGCUCAAGAAAUACCAGCUGCACGGGACCAAGUUCUGAAAUGGUACAUGUGGUCCAUGACUAUCCUCGAUGGUUUAUCCUUCUCUAGAUAUCGGGUUGAGGCCACAAAGAAGUUUCACACACAAAGUGCACAUUUUGACAGGUGGGAUCUUGCAGCUGCUGAGUCACUACCGAGUUACAUGAAAUCAUGUUACAAGGCUAUUUACACCAUCACAAAUGAUAUUGCCGAUAUGGUCAGAAAAGAGCAUGGAUUUAACCCUAUCAAUCAUCUCAAGAAAGCAUGGGCAUCUUUGUUUGAUGGAUUCAUGAUCGAGGGGAAAUGGCUAUCUACUAAUCAGAUCCCUACAUCAGAGGACUACCUAAGAAAUGGCAUCAUCACUUCAGGGGCACCACUUUUAUUUAUGCAUCUUUUAUUCAUGCUAGGGCAUGAUGUAACAGAUGACAACAACCACCACAUACUUAGGGUUAUCUCCUGCCCUGCAAAGAUCAUGAGGCUCUGGGAUGACAUGGGGAGUGCAAAGGAUGAGUUGCAAGAAGGGCUCGACGGAUCAUACAAGGAUUUGUACCAGAGAGAAAACCCUCAUGCUGAUGCGGAGAAGCACAUGUUGCAUAUGAUCGCGUGUGAAUGGGGGGAUCUAAACAGGGAAUGCUUCUCUCAGACAAAGUCCACACUACCACCUUGCUUCAUCGGGGCGUCUCUCAACUUUGCAAGGAUGGUCAGCAUCAUGUAUGGCUAUGACGAUGAGCAGAGGCUCCCCUCCCUGGAGGAUUACACUAGGAUGUUGCUCUUUUGA
rnacentral:rRNA from 1 species